rnacentral:rRNA from 1 species
ACUAAAUAGAUACCCAGGUAGUCCACGCUGUAAACGAUGAGUGCUAGAUGCCGGAUUUUUCGGUGUCGCAGCUAAACGCAUUAAGCACUCCACCUGGGAAGUACGAUCGCAAGGUUGAAACUCAAAGGAAUUGACGGGGGCCCGCACAAGCAGUGGAGCAUGUGGUUUAAUUCGAUGCAACGCGAAGAACCUUACCUAGGCUUGAAAAGCUUAUGACCGGCUGUGAAAGCAGCUUUCCCGCAAGGGCAUAAGUACAGGUGCUGCAUGGCUGUCGUCAGCUCGUGCCGUGAGGUGUUGGGUUAAGUCCCGCAACGAGCGCAACCCUUACCAUUAGUUGCCACCGGAGCAAUCCGAGCACUCUAAUGGAACUGCCUACGCAAGUAGUGAGGAAGGUGAGGAUGACGUCAAGUCCGCAUGGCCCUUACGCCUAGGGCUACACACGUGCUACAAUGGCCGCUACAACGGGCAGCAAAAUCGCGAGAUGGAGCGAAUCCCUAAAAAGCGGCCUCAGUUCGG